UCCAAUCCCUAGUUCAGAUAAUUGACAGAUAAGAACUGUCAUAGUCCUGAUAAAUAAAUCUAGGUAUAUAAGAAACACUUGUACAUAAACAUGAGAAGUUUGCUGUUGGGUAAAAUAAAUAUAGAUGCUCUCUUCUGUAGCAACUGUUGACCAGACCAGUGCGUUUUCCUUGAACUUUACAGUGGCGACGAGAUAAAAAAAUUAGUAAUUCGCGUGUGAAAGUUGUAAAAAAUAGUAGAAUAAGUGGCCGUUUCGGAUUAGCUUGUGUCGGACGGAGCUAAGGUUGGCUGGUUGAGGAAUUAAUCGGAUGAAAGCCGGUCAAAAGUGACGCUAGUUCCUUGGCUUAGGGUGGACCCUAUUAUCCACAGGUCGAGUUAAUUUCCUGGUGGCGUCUGAAAUUGAAGUUUACCGAAGAGCCUUUGAGCAGGAAAGCUAGGCCAGUUGACCGAUAAUCCGGAUAAGGCUGUACGAAAAAGGAUGAUUACCGGUGUUGUUGCUGAGUGAAUACGUGAUACCGGUGCAAAAACGUAAUCGUUUGAAAGGCGGAAUUAUCGACGCACACACGAACUUUUCGGGAUUGGGACAAUUGGCGUUCAGCAGUACAAUAACCACUAGUUUCGGAGGAGACGGGAACUGGAAUUCAGCGAGUGAGAACGGUACAAAGUUGUGAACUAAUUAGACACAAUGGGGCUAAUCGGUUCAAUUGAUCCAUAUGUUCAAGGUACCUCGUUCUCUCAUUAUGUCGAACAAAUGGAAUACAUCUUCUCUAGUAACGACAUUGUAGAGGCAAAAACAUCCAGUUAAAUUUGUAGGAGACACUGCAAGUGUGGAGGAUCCGCAUGAGUAUUUCAAAAGAUUAAGAAUGGACUACGAUAGCGACGUGGACUCAGAUUGCCAUCGGAGCCCAUCUCCUAACGGCCCACAGGGGGCAGAUAAAGCUUGUCAAAACGAAUGAACGGAGGCGAAAUGUUUCGCUUCAAGCUGGAGGAGAAGAAGCGCCCGUACGGACACAUAAGAGGAAGUUUGUCGAUUCCGAUGAAGAUGAGCCGUUUCACGGUUUCGAUGCUGAGGCUCCACCACCCGCCAGAAAUGAAUUACAUCCGGGAGCGUUACAAGAAAGUGUUGAUGUUUUUCCAUCAGGAAGUUCGAAGCCUUCAGUUACAUUAAGGCGUUCGAAUAGAAAGAAACAGAAGUCAAAUGAUCAUGAAUUUGUGUACUAUUAAGUAGUUAGGUGUUACUAAAGAAAGUAUUAAGUAUCAAAUUUAGUUAACAAGUGCCAUCAUGAAUUACAGUUAUAAAACUCACGAUCUAAAUAUAAAGUUACAUAUAUGGACACCUUCGAAUUUUGCGAAAAUAUUGUUCAGAGAAAGAGUGGUAUAAUAAUUAACUAAAUAAGGGAGGAGUUGUCAUAUACUCAAGAAAGAAUAAAUAAUGUUUAGCGUGUUCAGAUUCCAAUCCCUAGUUCAGAUAAUUGACAGAUAAGAACUGUCAUAGUCCUGAUAAAUAAAUCUAGGUAUAUAAGAAACACUUGUACAUAAACAUGAGAAGUUUGCUGUUGGGUAAAAUAAAUAUAGAUGCUCUCUUCUGUAGCAACU